CCUACGGGAGGCAGCAGUGAGGAAUAUUGGUCAAUGGGCGAGAGCCUGAACCAGCCAAGUCGCGUGAAGGAUGACGGCCCUACGGGUUGUAAACUUCUUUUGUCAGGGAGCAAUUGAGUCCACGUGUGGUCUUAGCGAGAGUACCUGAAGAAAAAGCAUCGGCUAACUCCGUGCCAGCAGCCGCGGUAAUACGGAGGAUGCGAGCGUUAUCCGGAUUUAUGGGGUUUAAAGGGUGCGUAGGCGGUAUAUCAAGUCGGCGGUAAAGAUUGGGGGCUAAACCCCGUCGUGCCGUUGAAACUGAUGUUCUUGAGUGGGCGAGAGGUAUGCGGAAUGCGUGGUGUAGCGGUGAAAUGCAUAGAUAUCACGCAGAACUCCGAUUGCGAAGGCAGCAUACCGGCGCCCAACUGACGCUGAAGCACGAAAGCGUGGGUAUCGAACAGGAUUAGAUACCCGAGUAGUC
rnacentral:rRNA from 1 species